rnacentral:rRNA from 1 species
AACGAACGCUGGCGGCAGGCCUAACACAUGCAAGUCGAGCGCCCAGCAAUGGGAGCAGCAGACGGGUGAGUAACGCGUGGGAACCUUCCCGAUAGUACGGAAUAGCCCAGGGAAACUUGGAGUAAUACCGUAUACGCCCGAAAGGGGAAAGAUUCAUCGCUAUCGGAUGGGCCCGCGUAGGAUUAGCUAGUUGGUGAGGUAAUGGCUCACCAAGGCGACGAUCCUUAGCUGGUUUGAGAGAAUGACCAGCCACACUGGGACUGAGACACGGCCCAGACUCCUACGGGAGGCAGCAGUGGGGAAUCUUGGACAAUGGGCGCAAGCCUGAUCCAGCCAUGCCGCGUGAGUGACGAAGGUCUUCGGAUCGUAAAGCUCUUUUGCCAGGGACGAUAAUGACGGUACCUGGAGAAUAAGCCCCGGCUAACUUCGUGCCAGCAGCCGCCGUAACAC